rnacentral:misc_RNA from 1 species
UAUAGAGACUAUUAUCCCAGUUUCUCCGUCGUUAAUAAUUAAAGUAAAUUUAAUACCUAUACAUCUACAUUAUUUACAGACAUUAUGUUAGUACAACAUUCACACGCAUAUUUUUCGAGAUAUUUUAUGUGUCUUGUUUAAAUAAAAUUAUUAUGAAAACACACCGGAUGUGAACGUGGAUGAUGCGUAUACUAUGAUGGUGCAAUUUUUAGAUUUCAAUUUUUCUUGUAAUUUUAUCCGAUGGCGUUUUAUUAUGCGACAAAAUAAUCGUCCUCGAAAUUAUUUUCACUUUUUACGCCUAAUUACGCACACAUGCGUACUUUAUAAGUGGGCUCCAAAAUUGUAUAAAAAAAAAAAAACAAGAAAACAAACAAAUAAUUUUAAUAAUAAUAAUCAUAACGAUGCUAAUAAGAAUAAUGAUAAUAAUAAUCAUAGUUCUAACUAUAGCGGUAGUAAUACUAAUAACGUUCGUAAUGAUAAAAGUAUAAUAAAGCACCGAGGAAUAAAUAAAUCACGUAAAACAUCUCAAGUUAAAUAAAUAUAGACCUCAUUGUCUGCGAUACGACAAGGUCGUGUUACCGCCCCCCUCCCCCCCCCAGGAAAAUAGAAAAAUCCCCGCAGGCUUCCAUUUGAAAAUCAAAAAGCCAUUCAACCAGAUGGUAAUAAACACGAUAUUCGCGAUGUUCACCGCGAAUGUAAUUCACACACGGGAAGGGGUCAGAAGGGAAAUGGAAAUGGGAAUCGGGAGAAUCAGUGAAGGACUAUUUUCUAAUUAUACUUUACCUUUCAAGCGAUUAUAAAUUACCGCGAAUUUCGCCGCCCCCCGGUGAUCCUGAGAUGAGCAUUGUAUGAAGAGGGUAAUAAAAUACUUGCAUGGGUAUUCUACCUCAGGUUAGUAUACCUAUACUACAAGUACGUGAAUUGCUUUGGACCAACGUCUCUCAGCUAAUGAGCUUAUUGAAUUUUUUUCAUUCACCUUUUCCUUUCAGUUAAGGUCAGUGAAAGCUUUCGAUCGGUAGUGGGGGUGUUAUCGGGGGUAAAUGGUCUCCGCAUGUCGGGAAGUUCGGAGGAAUCGGGGGAAGGUCUCCGUGUGUCCCUACGUGAAGGACCAAAUUCAUACCGAUCACUAUAUGGAACAAGAAGUGACAGUGGAACAGCCAGUAGCC